UACAGAGGUCCCAAGCGUUGUUCGGAUUCACUGGGCGUAAAGGGUGCGUAGGUGGCCGGGUAAGUCUGACGUGAAAUCUCCGAGCUCAACUCGGAAACUGCGUCGGAUACUAUCCGGCUCGAGGAUCGGAGGGGAGACUGGAAUUCUCGGUGUAGCAGUGAAAUGCGUAGAUAUCGAGAGGAACACCAGUGGCGAAGGCGAGUCUCUGGACGAUUCCUGACGCUGAGGCACGAAAGCCAGGGGAGCAAACGGG
rnacentral:rRNA from 1 species